GACCUAACCUCUAGGGGAUUUUCUCUAGAGUAUGGUCAAAAACACAGUGAAGAAUAAAGAACUCCUAGUCAGAGUUUACACUUCACUGUGUCAUAACUGGAAACGGUUAUGGAUGGCUUAAAAACCAUC
rnacentral:sRNA from 12 species